GAUGAACGCUGGCGGCGUGCCUAAUACAUGCAAGUCGAACGCUGAAGCAAGGAGCUUGCUCUUUUCGUGUGAGCGGCGAACGGGUGAGUAACGCGUGGGUAACCUGCCUGGUAGCGGGGGAUAACUAUUGGAAACGAUAGCUAAUACCGCAUAACAGUAUAUGUUGCAUGAUUUCAAAUUAAAAGGUGCAAUUGCACUACUAUCUGAAGGACCUCCGUUGUCUUGACUUGGUGGUUAGGUAACGGCCUACCAAGGCAACGAUGCAUAGCCGACCUGAGAGGGUGAUCGGCCACACUGGAACUGAGACACGGUCCAGACUCCUACGGGAGGCAGCAGUAGGGAAUCUUCCGCAAUGGGCGAAAGCCUGACGGAGCAACGCCGCGUGAGUGAUGAAGGUCUUCGGAUCGUAAAACUCUGUUAUUAGGGAAGAACAUAUGUGUAAGUAACUGUGCACAUCUUGACGGUACCUAAUCAGAAAGCCACGGCUAACUACGUG
rnacentral:rRNA from 1 species